rnacentral:rRNA from 1 species
GACGAACGCUGGCGGCGUGCCUAAUACAUGCAAGUCGAGCGAACCAAUUGAAAGCCUAGCUUUCAUGAGGUUAGCGGCGGACGGGUGAGUAACACGUGGGUAACCUGCCCUAUAGACUGGGAUAACUCGCGGAAACGCGUGCUAAUACCGGAUAACACAUCAAAGUGCAUGCUUUGAUGUUGAAAGAUGGUUCUGCUAUCACUAUAGGAUGGGCCCGCGGCGCAUUAGCUUGUUGGUGGGGUAACGGCCUACCAAGGCGACGAUGCGUAGCCGACCUGAGAGGGUGAUCGGCCACACUGGGACUGAGACACGGCCCAGACUCCUACGGGAGGCAGCAGUAGGGAAUCUUCCACAAUGGGCGAAAGCCUGAUGGAGCAACGCCGCGUGAGCGAAGAAGGUCUUCGGAUCGUAAAGCUCUGUUGUAAGGGAAGAACAAGUGCAGUAGUAACUGGCUGCACCUUGACGGUACCUUACUAGAAAGCCACGGCUAACUA